rnacentral:sRNA from 1 species
GAAGAUGCGCUAAAUGUGGCCGCCUAGACUUCAUCCUGAUGAAGAAAAUGGGGAUUAAAAGUGGAUUUACGUUUUGGAACCUCGUCUUUUUAUUGACGGUGUCUUGUGUGAAAGGAUUUAUUUAUACAUGUGGUGGAACUUUAAAAGGACUUAAUGGCACUAUAGAAAGCCCUGGUUUUCCAUAUGGAUAUCCAAAUGGUGCAAACUGUACAUGGGUAAUAAUAGCAGAAGAACGAAAUAGAAUACAAAUUGUUUUUCAGUCAUUUGCUCUAGAAGAAGAAUACGACUACUUAUCAUUAUAUGAUGGACAUCCUCAUCCUACAAACUUUAGGACAAGGUUAGUGUGUUUUGAAUGGAAGACUGGAGAGAAAAUAUUUCCUGGGUAAAAGUAGUUUAUUUUACAAAAGAUGCUUAACAUUUGUGAUGCAAUUAUAAUAAAGUUGUAUUCACCAUCUAAUUAUUAUUUAUUUGAAAAUAUAUCAUCCCAUGAACAAAUUAGCUUGGUGUCUCUGAUGUCAUAUUGCUAGUACAUUAAUACUAUGUCUCACAAAGGUGAAUAUAUAUUGAGUGGUGAUCUCUUUAUAGUGGCUAAAGGUAUUUUGUUUUUAAAAAUGAUUAUCUCAAGGUUUCAUUCAUUAUGGAUAUAACUUUUGAUAAAGUAAAACAUACUAUAUAAGGUAUAUUUCAGUGAUAAUAUGUCCAAUUUUAAUAUUCAACACUAUGCAAAAACACCUUAAGUCAGCAUUCAUGAAUAGUAGAAUAAAUUAAUUUCUGAUAAUGUGUGUAGUUUAUAAAAUCUAAAUAUCUGAAAACUACAUACUUUCAUGUCAAAAAUGGGGUCGUUUAUAUUUUUGCCUCUAUAAAUGAAAGUGUUUUUUGAAGCUUAUUGAUUAAACAGAUGUAAAAAUUAACUAGCACCCUGACUAUUUUUAAGGUAGUUCUUCUGGUUCUUCAGAAUUUUCUCUUGGCAAAGAGGUUAUGUAAAAUUAGAAGUAUUUUUGAGGUCUUACCAGAAACUUAUUUUUAUUGUAAAUCAACUAUAAUUCAACUAAAAAAUUCAACAUUCCAAGAAUUGCACAUUUUAUUUAGUCCUAGAUUUAUGCCAGUGUUUGUAUACUUUUCUUUAAGUGCCAUAAGCUUUUUUAAACUUGUAAUUUAAAAUAGUCUAAGAAGGUAACAUGUAGGAAUUAAAGACUCUUUACAUACUUGGCUAUGUUUGAGUUAUGAUUCUCUGAUGGUGUUACUUUCUAAUAGUUGAUAACAUGUUCUUGCCUUCCUAAUGUACAAGAAGCAGAUUAUCAGUGCUAACUUUUUACAGUUUCAUCAGUCUUCCAUAUUCCUUUGCAUUUAUAUUUUUUCAAUUUUAAGUAAAAAUUUAGUGUUUCAGUGAAACCCCGUCUCUACUAAAAAUACAAAAAAUUAGCCGGGUGUCGUGGCGGGCGCCUGUAGACCCAGCUACUUGGGAGGCUGAGGCAGGAGAAUGGCGUGAACCCGGGAGGCGGAGCUUGCAACGAGCCAAGAUCGCGCCACUGCACUCCAGCCUGGGUGACAGAGCAAGACUCCGUCUCAAAAAAAAAAAAGAAAAAAGAAAGAAUUAGUGUUUAUUUUCCUCAAGUUUUGGCAAUGAAAAACAUAAUGUAGUGGGGAAAAUGGUGGAUCUGGAGAUGAGAUUUAUUACAUUAGGAUGUUAGGUUUGUUGCUCACCAGCUUUUUGAGCAAUCCACGCUACCUCUGUUUAAACUGAGAGAUGGUAGUAAGGCCGGUUCUAGCCAUCUCAUUAUACUGUUCUGCAGGUAUUACGAGAAAAUGUGUAUGAACCUGCUGCAUGUCUACAAAAUCCUAUUAGAGCACAUCGAACUGCUUCCAGUCAGAUGACACUUAAAAAUGCCUGAGUUAUUUCACAAACUUUGUUGUGCAAAAACAAGGUUACUAGGUUGAUUACAGCUAAGAUUCUAUUUUUCUUUCUUUUUUUCCUCUAUACUCGUUUACCGAGUAAAUCUGAUUUCUUUUUCCUUUUACAUUGUAAACUCAUACAUAAACUUUUACAUUGUAACUCAUACAAUAAUCAUCUAUUUUAUAAAUAUACAUUAUGGUACGCACGUCUGACUGCUGUUUGAUCAUCAUUGCCACUGUCAUUAAAAGCUGGUGUCUUUUGUUAAUGCAAAUAAUGCCUAUAAGUGGAAGUACAAUUUUUUACACUGGCAAUCUGUGGGAUAUAAUUUUCCUAAAUAUAUAAAAAUACUUCUUUCAAUAUUACCUGUUAGUUUCAAAGUAUCAAUUCCCUGAUAGUAAUGCUUGUACAUGUACCUAUUCUCUCUAGAUUGCCUUGAAAAUGAGAAAACACAUUUUUAUUUUUCCUCUUUCCUGCUUUUCUAAACAACUGUGGCCUCUGGGAAGUUAAAAAAUUGCGAAGUUAGGAAAAUUAAUUUAUUGUUCUCAUUCUUUCUUUCCUAAUCUGUAAAUUGGGAAUAAUAGCACUUAAUUCACAGAGAUUUUAUGGGGGAAUACAAUAUAAUGAAAGCUCAGUGACUCUAACCCUUAACAUUUAUUGAAUGAUUCCUCUGCACCUGUCACUGUGCUAUGUAUUUUGUGUUCAUUAUGGUAUUUAACUUCUCCUGUAUCCAAACAAUGUAAAAUAAUUACUAUUGUCAUCAUCAUUUUACAACUGAUAAAAUGAGGCUUGAAUUGAUUGCCCGAGUAAAAUUGUUGAAAGUGGCAAAAGGCAGAACUAUCAUUACAAUUCAGAUUUGUUUCAGUUUAGAUCUGAAGCUCUUCAAUAUAUAUAAUUAUAUGUAGUUAGACACAAUCUCCAAAGUUUAUGUAUUGAUAUAUAAAUAAAAAUCUAUUUUUUCUUAGCAGUAUUGGAUAAAAUUUAGUAAGAGAAAUAAUAAUAAAAGGUAUAUUUUCAAACAGGUGUAAUAUAUACAAAUAUAAACCGAAAGGUAAGCUACAAAUUUAUUUUUCCUAUUUAUUUUAUAGACUAUAUUCGUACAUGUACUCUAUUUAUACAAGCAAAAUGACAAGACUAUAUUCUAACAUGUAGUCUAUGUUAUAAUAUAGUCUUUAGAGUCUAAUGUUUUGCUCACUGUAAACAUUUAACACAUUUAUUGGUUUUUGUGCUUCAAGAAGUACUGUAGCUAAUGUUAUAGCUGACUUUAGUUAGCAAGACUGGAAAGAAAAAAAUUAGUAUGUAACCUACAGCCCGUUCCAGACUGUGUUUAUAUACAAAAUCUGCUGUUUGAUUAGAAGUCGAAACUGCUGCUGGCAGAGUUUGAUUCAUGUUUGCGUCUGGCUGUUUGACUCACUGUUUUCUUGGGUUUUGUUUCUCUCAUAUUGGAUCAUAUUCUCACUUAAUGCAUGUCCUUAUGGUGUGUUUGCUGUUCUCUUUCUUCCAGAAAUUGAUGUUUAUUUUUUUUACUUUUCAUGAGCUCCAAUAGAUUUUUUAAAAAUGGCUUCUUACACUUGUCUUGCAAUAAUGUAGGAAAAAAAAUGGUUUGUGGGUCUUGUCAUUCCUGCUUGUAUAAAUAAACACACUGGGAUUCAUAAUCAGAAUUUCAUAUUUUAAAAACUGUACUCUAAGCCUCCAAUGAUUAAUGAUAUUACUUGUUUUUCUGUAAGUUAUUUUUUAUUAAAAGAGAAUUGAUAUUGGCAAAGCACCGUUAGAUAAUUUCUUUCUUAAUCAUAACUUUAUCUUAGAACAAGUGCUGAUGCAUUUAAGGCAACGUUGCUGGAAGCAUAAAGGUUAUUCUAAGCCUUGUUUAUUUUACAUUAAUAUUAUAUUUUCCCAAUAAUAAACUUAUACCAACAAGUAAAAAAUCACCUAUUAUUUAAUGAGGCAGAGACAGAUAUAUUCACCCAGGAUCAUUCCAUAUAUGAUAUUGUAUGUCCUUAAUAAUCUCUCUACAUUAUAAUGUACAUGUCUAAUGUGUGAUUAGAAUCUUUGUAAACAUCAAUUUAUUGAAUUUGUUAAGUAUAUUUAAUCAUUUUAUGUAAGCAUUAAUUUAUGCAAAUAUUUAAUCCUGUGGAUAUAAUUUAUGUAAUUAUCAUUCUAUUAUAUUUUUGUUUUUUUUAAUUAAUUCACAUAUUAGCAUCCUUAUGAAUAUAUAUUUUCUAUAUUUUAGAUUGGUUCUUGGUAGAAACAGGAUGGCUAGGUCAGAAGCAAAUAAUAUUCUUUAUAUUACUAAUAUGCUUUCCAGAAUCUUAUAUCAAUGAAUAUUAUUACAACUAGAAAACUAUACUUCAUUACCUCUCAGUCUUCCCAGACUUAUAUCUUUUAUUCUUAAUUUGAUUAUUUACAUAUAUCUGAUUUUUAUAGAUAUUUAACAUAUUCUCUUGUUUGAUAACCACGCUGAUUUUCUCCUGUAAAUUUAUUUUUUGUCUAUGUAUCAAUAGUUUUUUGAUGAUUUACAUAAUUCAUUUAUUCUUAAACAUGUAAAUAUUUCCCUUUUGUGACAAAAAUAUUUCUCAGCUUCUUGGUUGCUUGUUAAAUCUUAGCUGUUUUUUCUGCACAAAUAAGUGAAGAAUUUUAAAAUUUUUAUAUGAUAUAUAUUAUCCAUUUAUUUAAAGAUUCAUUUCAUUUCUUUUAAUGUUACAAAGUCAAGAGCUAGAUGUUUUAUAAAUUCUCAUUUUUAAAUUCCUUUUCCUAAUUUUUAACAUGUACAACCUUAAUACAUAUGAAAUAUUAUGGAAUGAUAAUCUUUUCUCAAAGUGGAAGAGAAUGAUUAUUUCUAAAUAACCAACGUAGUAGUAUAGUUAUUUUUUAAAAGACUUGAGUACAAAAACUUUUAUUUAGUGUGACUCCUGACAUGUUACUCUGGUCUCCUCAUUGCUACUUUGAUAUGGCCUAUCACUUUGGAUGUUUGGCUGUAACAGAAAUCCUGACUUACUGUAGCUUAAACAAAAAAUUUAUUUUUCUUAUAUAACAAGAAGUUUGUUAUUAUGCAGUUCAUCAGUAAAUCAAAAGCUUUCCCAAAAGUCCUUAGAAGGAUUCUUCUCCUAUAUCAUUGGCCAGAACAGCCUGACAUCACCAUCCCUUGGUCAACAGUAUUCUAGAAAAACAGCUUUCAUUUUCAACCUCAGUUGUGGAAAACAGCAUGGAGAAGACUGAGGGCCAGGCAACUGACAAAAUCUAUCACAAUAUCCAAAGCUUAUUUUUUGGAUAUUGUGAUAGGUAAAUAAAUAAAUAUUAUUUCUAAAUAAAUUGUUUCCAAAGUUGUGAUUUAAAAACAGGGAGUAAUUAUCACAAGGUCAUAGUCAUGGUGUAGUAAUGACUGCAACAUAAACUUCACUUUCCUGAGUUAUAUAAACGUCCCUGGAUUAGAAAUGUUAAAAACAAAUGGAUAGGUAAAGAUAAAAUCAAAUGUAAGUGUAAGUGUUAACAUAACACAAAAUCUUAAGGCGGAGGCAGAUAAUAAAAAAGUAAAUAUCACAUGUUCUCACUUAUAAGUGAGAGCUAAACAUUGGGUACUCAUGGACAUAAAGAUGGCAACAAUAGACACUGGGGACUAACAGUGUGGGGAGGGAGCGAAGGAAGCAUAGGCUGAAAAACUGUCAUGUACUAUGCUUACAUCUGGGUGAUAGGAUCAUUCACGUCCUAGGGCUUGGCAUCAUGCAGUAUACCCAUGUAAUGGACCUGCACAUAUACUCUCUGAAUCCAAGAUAAAAGUUGAAAUUAUAAUAAAAUCAUUAAAAAAAAGAAAAAA